CCUGUAUCUAAUGUGCUAUUAUCAUUGAUAGUUCUUGUUGGAAAGCCUUAUGCUUUUGAAGCAGUAGUUGCUAUUCUUAAUAAGAAAUGAUAUAUAACAAAAUGGCUAUAUUCUCCUCACUUUUCAGGCUGUAAUAUUUUGCCUUUUACUAAUAUGUAUGCUCAAUUAAUUGCUGAUGGUCAUAUUAAAAUUUUAUCUUUAACAAGCAUGGAUAUUCAUGUUUUGCACCUUAUGAAAAAAACUUUAUAUCUCUAAUACGUACCAUUCAUCCUAUUAUCAAGCUGUAUUAGCUAAAAUUUUAGUGCUCAUUGUGUUUCACCUGCCUCAUGAUGAACAAUUCUCUUUGUUAUAUCAGUUUCCUUAAUUAUAUCCAUUUUCCUUAAUUCCUACUGUUCCUCUUAUAGAUGAAAUAAUGGUGUAAACAAACAGGUAAACAAAGAGGAGUAAUAUCUGUUUUUAUUAAUGGUGAAUGGACUAUUAUACUCUACCUCAAAAUUCUCCACAGUGAGCUGAGUUAGCUACCUUUAUCCUGAUGCUGAAAUUGUUUUCUACUAUUUUAAAUGUUAUUACAAGUUCUCAAUAUAUAGUUAAGCUUGUGCUUCAUAUUUCCAUGGUUGGGUUAUGCCCUCAUUUGGAUUCCAAUUCACUGUCUCUUUUUUAAACCCUUUAAACUCUUUUAUAGCAUCAUGCAUCUCCUAUCUUCCUUGCUCAUAGAUAUAGCCACCCCAAGAUUUCUAAACUUUUGAUGGAGGUUGUCGCUCACACAGAUGAAGAUAUGAAAUCUGCUUAUCCUUUUUUUUUUUCAAAUGCUGUGAAAUCUCAUGGAUUUUUUCAUCAAAAUACUCGGUCACUACUGAAAACAUUUUCCAUAUCUUCUCAAAAGUUUCAUGCUAUAGUUAGCAAUUGUUCCCACUGUGUACACUUAUGAACCCUAUAUAAAAAUUUGUGAACCCAGGCCUACAUUUUAAUGCACAAUGGUAAAUGGAUGUUACUUAUUUCACUCCUUUUUUUCAUGUUUUUAUUACUACCCAUUCUGGAUUUAUUUAAGCUAGUGCCCACAGGUAUAAAAAUGUAUUUGCUUGCAUUUCUCACUUAUUGCUUUGCUUUCCACCAUGGGCAAGCCUGCUUAUUUAGAAAAUGGAUAAUGCCCCUGCGUAUACAUCUUGUGCUUUUGCACAAUUUUGUAAUCAAUGAAAUAUAAUUUUAAAUCAUAAAAUUCCUCAUAAUCCUACUGAACAAACUGGUUAAAUGAGUGCAUCAUACUCUUGAAACUUGCCUUUUAAAACUAAAACAAAAAAGGGGCAAUCUAGCCUCUCUCAUAUUAAUAAUGCUUUAAAUAUUGUUUUAUUUACAGUUAACGUGCUCAAUAUGGAAUGCAAAGUUGAUAUUCACAAUUGGUUGUCUGCUUUGGAUAGACAUUGUAUUCCUAAACAGCCAUUACUAAGAAUUUAUGUAAAAUAUAGGGUUCCACCAGACCCAGGAUGACAAGACCCUAUGCCUCUGACCACAUGGGGAAAAGGAUAGUCUGCUGUGCUCACACCAACAGAUCCUACUUGGACUCCAGCUUCAUGCAUGAGCUCUAUCCAUUGUGAAUGGACAUCGGGAACUUCACACCUUGAUUCCCAAGUUGCAUUUGAUCCUGGAUGAGGAGAGUCCCACCAAACAAGAGGAAACUCUCCUCAAAAGAGAGGAAGCAUUAAAGAAGGACAGAUAAGAGACAUGAAAAGAGGAUCCCAAGCUUCUAGACUUCCAGUGAGUUGGGGACAUAUAAAAUCAUUAACAGCCUCAGCUCUACAGCUGUUGGCUCAAAGGGGCUUAAAAUGUACUCUGGAAAACUUAGUUACUGCUUUGUUUGCUAAACUUACAUCAAACUCUGUAAAUGUUUUGAUCCUUGUGAUAAUGUUAUUCUGCUGUUGUACCCCACUUGUGCGAAACAUAGUUCUAAGUCAGACUCCUGGAGUUUUAGAACCCAUUAUAAUAUUUAGGUUCGCUUGGUGAAAAUUGUUAUAUACCUGCAAGAAUGUCGCAGCAGAUUAACUGUGUUCUCACCAUCCUUGCAGGAUUUAAUGGGCCACCAUCAUGCACAACGUAUUCAUAAAAGGUCUAUUCCCCUUGAUGAAAACUGUGAUGAUUCAGUACAUCGUCUCUCAAAGGCAGAAUUUGACGCUUUGACAUUUUCCAUAGUGGGUUUCCCUGGACUAGCUGUCGGGGCUUACAAAACCACUAUGAACCUGGCCUGUGCUGUGGUAAAAAAAGUACUAAUCCUACCUCUCUGGCCAUUAAUAUGCUUAAUGAAGAACAAAAACAACAUCGCCAAGACAUUCUUGAUAACCAGGCUGCUAUUGAUUAUUUGUUGUUGUUACAUCAUAAAGGAUGUGAGGAUAAAACACAUAAAGGAUGUGUUGCUUCAAUUUAAGCGAUAACAGUAAUUCUAUUUUAAGAGCAUUAAAUUACCUUAAAUAUAUCAUUAGAAGGUCCAGCAAGAUGAUGAAGGUUUAGACUUGUUAGAUUGGUUAACUUCAUGGUUACCCAAUUGCAUCUGGUUCAAACAAUUAUUCAUAGGUGGAAGUUUGCUGCUAUUGGGAUUGUUGUGUUGCACUUGCUGCUUGUCAAUGCCUGCCCUAUAUUUCCCCUUGCUAGGAUUAAGAAGAAAACAGGUAUUUUUCAUCCAGAAGGCCUUAAAAAACAAAGGAGAGCUGUAGGUAUUCAGACCAUGGAAAUAGACAGGAAAACAUUCUCCUGGUGAGCAAACUCCCGGGGAUAACUGGCAGGGUAACUGGUGCCCUGAUUCCCACAAUUGGAAUGCCCAGCCCCCUCCCUCUGAGGGAAUAAGACAACUAUGCAGGCACUAGCUGCUUUUCUUAGCAAUGUCCUUGGAGAGAAGGGGCUCUGUGUUUGUAUUAACCUGGACCUUAUCUCUAUUAGCUAGCACUCAGGUUAAAAAAAAAAUACUAAUUAGAAUACAGUCAUGGUAAUGGGCGGUAUGUGUUCUUUGAGUUAAUAAACUCCCAGGCAGCAGGGAGCGGACCCUUCAUUUCCAGACUUCUUCACCACUUCACUUCACUGCUCUCUGCUCCUCCUGUCUGUCUGCUUACACUUUGUGUAACACUCUUAUGUGCCGCCUCCACAGGUAUUUCUCCACAGGUGUUCCUUUACAGUUAAUUAAUCAAUAAGUUAGAAAAAGACAUCAGAUAAAAAGUUACAUUCUUACUAUUCAACAAAAUUUUACAUUUUUGGGGGGGACUGGGGUUGUGGCUCAGUGGUAGCACCCUCGCCUAGCAUGCAUGAGGCACUGGGUUCGAUCCUCAGCACCACAGAAAAACAAAAUAAUGUGUCCACCUAAAACUAAAGAUACAUAAAUAAAUAAAUGUUUAAAAAAUUUCUACAUUUUUAAAAUCGUCUUUCAAUUUGUUCAAGGUACUUUCCAUCACAUGUCCAGGAGAUAGUGCAAGGAGGGGUGGAGCACAACACCCAUCUCCUUGCAUGUCUUCACAAAUGGAGAUGCUUAACCCUCACCACUUCCCCACUUCCCCAGCCUGCCCAGUAAUUCUGAGGAUACAGCCAACUCCUUCCAAUUAUGAAAUCUUAGCAAGUUAACAUGUCAGCCAGGCAAGCCUGCUUCACAUUUUAUAGUUGGGGUUUCCAUCCUUUUUUUUUUUAACUUUAUAGGAAAUUUCCUUUCCCUAAACAUGAACGUAUGGUUCCUGGAGCACAAAGCUUGCUCAGGAGACCAACAAGAAUAUAUAAUCAGAGAGAAAAAGCUCUCUAUUUAUUCCAUAUUGUUGAUCAAGCCCAGCAAUAGAGAAAGAAAGAACAAUUUUUUUUUUCAGAGAUCUUUAUAGAAAAUGAUAUAGUAAGAAGAAAAUCUGGGGAAAAGUACAUAAAACUGCAUGAAGUUUGACUCUGUAUGAUGAAAUCUAACCAUCAAAGAUGGAACUAGCUGGGAAUUAGAGAUUAUUAAUCAUAUGUUCAAUAUCUUGGAGCUAGGACUGAUAUUUAUAAAUUUUGGAAUUACUCUCAGUGAAUAUAUUCCCUACACAAAAAGUUGAACUGAUGAAUAAAUACAUGGACAAAUGAAUAAGUGAAUAAUUUUUUUCAGGAGGAAUUCCAUGAGAAAUAUCUUACAUGUUGAACUGUUGUUUUCAUAACAUUAAAAUGGUUGUGCUAGAUAAUCUUUUAUCCUUUUGAAGGCCCCGAGAAAAUACAUUUUUUGCCUAUAUUUAGAUGGACAAAAGAAUGAAGAUCAAAAAAUGUUUCAAAAUCACUCACUUAACCAGCAGCAUGAAAACCGCUUUGAUUUCUGGUCACCGGUUGACAAAAACACAUGAAGAGUACAGGAGGGGUAUGGAUCCAAGUGCCACAGUUAAAAAUCAAGUUAGUAUAAAAGUUUAUAAGAAAAAGCAAAAUAUAGGAAUCAAUUUUAAGUAAUAACCAAUCUUAGAACAGAGAAGAAUGAAGAGGGAAGUAGAAAAAUAAUUUGCAACCAAAAGUAGAAAUCAGCUGAAUCACCUGAUGCCUGGUACAUUGGGCAGGAUGCUUUCAGUCACCAACAAGAGGACACCAUCAUAAUGAGCUGAAAAUACUAAGGGAAAUUUUAUUGGGUGACAUGACUGAGAAUUUCAGGGAUCAUUCAGGCUUUGGAUACUGUUUAAUCUAAACUCUUCUGUGAGUCUAUUGUCAUUACAUUCUUGACUAUUUGAUUAAUACAUAGACUUGCUGUUCCGGAGUUGAAAAAAUAAUUUGAGCUGGUUUAAGCUUUAUAUCCUACAUGAUAACAUUCAGAAAAAAAGAGAGUAUCACUUUCCCCUUACUAACAUCACAGAUUUAGGCUCCUUAUAAACCGAGCCAGCUUAGGACAGGUACAUACCCAGACUCAUUUAUCUAACAAAGGUAAGUGGAAACUAUAGAAUGACUACCUUGAAUGAUACGUUGCCUGUACAUUCUUUAGCUUAUCACUUUCUCAAGGAUGAGUUCUCAAGAUUGUCUUAGGCUGAUCACUGCAGUUGAGAGUGGAGUUAAUCGACCCCAUGGCUGCCAUGCAAAUGUGGUAAAAAGAAUGGGAAGCUAGACAGACUGGAGCCAGUCAUGUCUGUUCCAAGUAGAAAGUCUGAAGUGUCCCAAUGUUUGAUUGCCCCCUUCUCCUGCUUUUCAUGUUUGCCUUUUCUCUCAUGACAACUUCACUUCCCAAAAGUUUAACUAUAUUUUGGAUCUACUCUCAGUGCAUAUGUUUGCUAUGCAAAUAGUAAAAAAUUGAAUUGUGAUGAAUGAAUGGAUGGAUGGAUUAAUUUUUCAGGAGAAAAAAGACAUAGGAAAAUAUCUUACAUGGCCUGGUCUCUCUGGAUAUUCCCCUUGCCCUGGGUCCCCUCUUCUCAGUUCCCUAAGCAACACGAGGCUAAGUCCCUUUUUCCAAGUUGAGCUCAAGUAAGUUGCUCAAUGAGAAACCUAAGAAAGGCCAAAAAAUAAUAAAGAGCAGAAUUCAAUUUUUUAAAGAAUAUUUUCAAGCUCAUACUUUUUUGUGUGUGUGUGUGUGUGUGUGUGUGUGUGUGUGUGGUGCUGGAGAAUGAACCCAGGGCCUUGUCCAUGAGAGGCAAGCACUCUACCAACUGAGCUACUGAGCUAUAUACCCAGGCCCAGUGAUGAUCUUUUUUUUUCUCCAUUAUUUUAUACUCAAUAUGCACCUGCUGCAUAAUAAGUAUAUAGUAGGUGCCUAGGAGCUGUUGAAUCCAUUUAGGAAUUUUAAAGAAAUUGAAGUUAAUCAUGGAUAUCUUGACUCACACUGUCAUUAAGUCCACCUUCAUAAUCAAGAUUUCUGUAUUUGCUAACUUGUCUAUUUAUUGAUCUUCACUUGUAACCCCAAAUCAAUACUCAGUUUUUUAUGGAUCUGUGCACUGUGGUGCGACACUUGAGUCACAUGAAGGUCAUGCUCCUUGGGCCCGAGAGUUGGGAAGUGGCCUACGUUGCCUAUGUGAGAGGCUCUCAGGGUUCAGCACACUGAAUCUGGAAGUUGUGGUGAGCACACUAACCACACUCAGCCCCAUCUCCAUGGUAACCUGGCCUCUCUCAGGUGCACAGCAUGUUCUUUGCCUUCUGCUUUUCUGCCACUGACCUACUAAUGCAUUGGUUACUGCUUGUAAGUAUGUUUCUGGCUCUUUGGAUCAUUAUGACCCUCAGAUAAAUCUGUCCAGUGAC
rnacentral:lncRNA from 1 species